GGUUGUGGCUCAGUGGUAGAGUGCUUGCCUAGCACAUUCGAGGCAUUGGGUUCUAUCCCCAGCACCA
rnacentral:tRNA from 1 species